CCUGAUGGUAAGGUCCUGCCGCGGGAG
rnacentral:sRNA from 1 species